UACGGAGGGUGCAAACGUUGCUCGGAAUCAUUGGGCGUAAAGCGCACGUAGGCGGACCGCUAAGUCGGAUGUGAAAGCCCUCGGCUUAACCGAGGAAGUGCAUUCGAAACUGACAGUCUUGAGUAUGGAAGAGGGUCGCGGAAUUCCCGGUGUAGAGGUGAAAUUCGUAGAUAUUCGCAAGAACACCAGUGGCGAAGGCGGCUCACUGGCCCGGUACUGACGCUGAGGUGCGAAAGCGUGGGGAGCAAACAGG
rnacentral:rRNA from 1 species